CUACGGGGCGCAGCAGUGAGGAAUAUUGCACAAUGGGGGAAACCCUGAUGCAGCAACGCCGCGUGGAGGAUGACGCAUUUCGGUGUGUAAACUCCUUUUAUCAGAGAAGAAAAUGACGGUAUCUGAUGAAUAAGCUCCGGCUAACUCCGUGCCAGCAGCCGCGGUAAUACGGAGGGAGCAAGCGUUAUUCGGAAUCACUGGGCGUAAAGGACGCGUAGGCGGGUUUUUAAGUCAGGUGUGAAAUCCUAUGGCUCAACCAUAGAACUGCACUUGAAACUGGGGACCCAGAGUAUGGAAGGGGCAGGUGGAAUUAGUGGUGUAGGGGUAAAAUCCGUAGAUAUCACUAGGAAUACCGAAAGCGAAGGCGACCUGCUGGGACAUUACUGACGCUGAGGCGUGAAAGCGUGGGGAGCAAACAGGAUUAGAUACCCGGGUAGUC
rnacentral:rRNA from 1 species